AAGGAUUAAAGCGAAUAGAAAUAAGAGUGUGUUGCUUAGAGUAAGGUGCUGUUCAUUGUAAAACUUUUGUCUCAGCUCUACAUACAUAUAUAGAAAUAUGUACACAAAUAUUUUUCAUAUAUACAUAUAUAUGUAACUAUAUGAACACACUUUUGUGUGUUAAAUCAGAAUAUAAAAAACCUGAGGGUCAAUCAAUGAGCCAAAAGGUAACCAGUCGUACUCUGGAAAAAUUUGGGUCCUCUGGUUACAAAGGAGCUGUCAUGAAGUAGUUUGCUGACUUACAGAGAUGGCUGAAGAAAAGUGCUUCUGCUGGUGAGAUAACCAAUGCUUGUGAUCAGAUAUGGAUGUGGUAUGAACAUUAAAAGGUUUCCUUCGGUUUUCUCAUCUCCAUCCCUUCAAUAAAAUAUCUCACCCUGAUACUUGUAGUCUGACUCUAGUGGGAUAACACAGGACUCCUGUUAUCCUUGACACUGUUAUCCAGUUAUCCAGGGGGCAUCUCUGCAACCUGUGGUGGAGUAGACCAUCUUUGCCUUCCGCUUGGACUGUUUGCUGGGUGCACUGCUCCUGUCUAGGCUCAGGUCUUCACCACCAAAGUAGACUUUUUACAAAACCUUUGGUUUCCCCUUCAAGGCACUUUCUACUGCCAGAAUGAUCUUUCUAAGGCAGAAUAUCCAACCAGGUGCAAUUUGUGGGUGCUUACAGGGUCAUGAAAUACCACCUAUGGUAGUUAGUUUCCACAAAUGGCCAAGAUAGACGUGUGGGUGAAGCCAUCCUGUGUGUCCCAGCCCCUGUCACCAUCUCAGUGCAGCCAUGUAAGGCCCCAAACAAGACCAGCAGAACCACCAUCUGCAUCUUGUCUACCCUGAUUGUGACAAAUAGUACAUUGCGGUUUUCAGCCACUAAAUGUAAGGGUGAGUUGUUAAGCAGCAGUAAAUUUGAAUCGGUCAGCUCACGUGGGUUCAAGCCCCAGCUCUGCCAGUACUUACAAUGUGAUCUUAAUCACUGAAUCUUCCUGAGCUUUCAUUUCCUUUGCAGAAUGAAGGUUGGGGUUUCAUUCAUCCCUUUAACAAACAUUUAUUGAAGAUCUCCUGUGGGCCAGGUGUGACAAUGGUGUACCUGGCAUGUAGUGGGAGCUCAAAAAAUAUUAGUGGUCUUUCAUCUUGCUCUUUUGUCCUUUAAUUAAUAAAUAGCACAACAAAAUGUUUUAUCACCUAUUUUCAGUUGAGUCUCAGUUCUCUGCAGUUAUCACCUUGCAUAGAAGCUACUGAAACCUCAUUUUUUUCUUUUUUGGGACAGGGUCUCCUGUAGCCCAGGUUGGAAUGCAGUGGCACAAUCUUUGCUCAUUGCAACCUUGAUUUCCUGGGCUCAAGUGAUCAUCCUGCCUCAGCCUCCCAA
rnacentral:lncRNA from 1 species